rnacentral:tRNA from 1 species
UGGGGGAUGGUGUAAUCGGCAACACAGCAGACUCUGGAUCUGUUAUUCCAGGUUCGAGUCCUGGUCCCCCAGCCA